rnacentral:rRNA from 1 species
AGUGAACGCUGGCGGUAGGCCUAACACAUGCAAGUCGAACGGCAGCACAUUACGAGCUUGCUCUUCCGGGUGGCGAGUGGCGUACGGGUGAGGAAUACAUCGUAAUCUACUUUUUCGUGGGGGAUAACGUAGGGAAACUUACUCUAAUACCGCAUACGACCUACCGUUGAAAGCAGUGGAUCUUCGGACCUUGUGCGAUUGAAUGAGCCGCUGUCGGAUUAGCUAGUUGGCGGGGUAAAGGCCCACCAAGUCGACGAUCCGUAGCUGGUCUGAGAGGAUGGUCGGCGACACUGGAACUGAGACACGGUCAAGGCGCCUGCGAGAGGCAGCAGUGGGGAAUGUUAGACAAAAGGCGCAAGCAUGAUCCAGCCAGACCGCGUGGGUGAAGAAGGCCUUGGGGUUGUAAAGACCUUUUGUUGGGAAAGAAAAGCAGUAGGUUAAUACCAAGCUGGACUGACGGUACCAAAAGAAUAAGCACCGGCUAACUACGUG